CCCCUUCGGGGGGUACACGAGUGGCGCACGGGUGAGUAACACGUGGGUAAUCUACCUUCAGGUCUGGGACAACUCCGGGAAACUGGAGCUAAUACCGGAUGAGACCACGAGGUCCUCGGACUUCGCGGGAAAAGAUGGCCUCUCCUUGGAAGCUAUCGCCUGUAGAUGAGCCCGCGCCCCAUUAGCUAGUUGGUGAGGUAACGGCUCACCAAGGCGACGAUGGGUAGCUGGUCUGAGAGGACGACCAGCCACACUGGAACUGAGACACGGUCCAGACUCCUACGGGAGGCAGCAGUCGGGAAUUUUGGGCAAUGGGCGAAAGCCUGACCCAGCAACGCCGCGUGAGGGAUGAAGGCCUUCGGGUCGUAAACCUCUGUCGGGAGGGAAGAACGAUCGCAAGGUGAAUAAUCUUGGGGUCUGACGGUACCUCCAAAGGAAGCGCCGGCUAACUCCGUGCCAGCAGCCGCGGUAAUACGGAGGGCGCAAGCGUUGUUCGGAAUCAUUGGGCGUAAAGCGCGUGUAGGCGGCUUGGCAAGUCGGGUGUGAAAUCCCGGGGCUCAACCCCGGAACUGCAUUCGAUACUGCCUCGCUAGAGUCCCGGAGAGGAGGGCGGAAUUCCCGGUGUAGAGGUGAAAUUCGUAGAUAUCGGGAGGAACACCAGUGGCGAAGGCGGCCCUCUGGACGGUGACUGACGCUGAGAUGCGAAAGCGUGGGGAGCAAACAGGAUUAGAUACCCUGGUAGUCCACGCUGU
rnacentral:rRNA from 1 species